CCCGAAACCAGGUGAGCUACCCCGAGACAGCCUAUGUUAAUUUAGGGCUAACCCGUCUCUGUGGCAAAAGAGUGGGAAGAGCUCCGGGUAGAAGUGACAGACCUACCGAACCUGGUGAUAGCUGGUUGCCUGAGAAAUGGAUAGAAGUUCAGCCUCGCAUCCCCCGAUCCAAUAAAUAUAUCGUCAAGAUGCUCAGGGAGACAUGCGAGAGUUAGUUAAAAGGGGUACAGCCCUUUUAACAAAGGAUACAACCUUCACAGGAGGAUAAAGAUCAUAAUAUAUAAGAUAUACUGUUCUAGUGGGCCUGAAAGCAGCCACCUAAACAGAAAGCGUUAAAGCUCGGACAGAAAGAAGUUUAUUAUACUGAUAAGAGAUCUUAUUCCCCUAGCUGUAUCAGGCCAACCCAUGCCCCCAUGGAAGAGAUUAUGCUAAAAUGAGUAAUAAGAAGACACGCUCUUCUCCCGGCACACGUGUAAACCAGAUCGGACCAACCACUGGAGCUUAACGAACCCAACCCAAGAGGGUAGUGUGAUUAAUAAAAACCUCAAGAAGACCUCACAUCAACUGAUCGUUAACCCCACACUGGAGUGCUAUCUCAAGGGAAAGACUAAAAGAGAGGGAAGGAACUCGGCAAACACAAGCCUCGCCUGUUUACCAAAAACAUCGCCUCCUGCAACUAGACUGAGUAUAGGAGGUCCAGCCUGCCCAGUGACUACGGGUUCAACGGCCGCGGUAUCUUGACCGUGCAAAGGUAGCGCAAUCACUUGUCUCUUAAAUAGAGACCUGUAUGAAUGGCUAGACGAGGGCUUAACUGUCUCCCCCCUCCAGUCAGUGAAAUUGAUCUAUCCGUGCAGAAGCGGGUAUAAAUAUACAAGACGAGAAGACCCUUUGGAGCUUAAGGUACAAAAUUCAACCACGUUAAACAACUCCAUAAAAGGCAAGAACUUAGUAGCAAUGAAAUUUUACCUUCGGUUGGGGCGACCGCGGAGGAAAAACAAGCCUCCGAGUGGACUGGGCCAAACCCCUGAAGCCAAGAGAAACAUCUAGAAGCCGCAGAAUAUCUGACCAAAAAUGAUCCGGCCAAAGGCCGAUCAACGAACCAAGUUACCCAAGGGAUAACAGCGCAAUCCCCUCCCAGAGCCCGUAUCGACGAGGGGGUUUACGACCUCGAUGUUGGAUCAGGACAUCCUAAUGGUGC
rnacentral:rRNA from 1 species